AAAAUUGAAAAUCCCCAAAUUCCUCAUAUCCGGUCCGAUUUGAGUAAGCCGGUCGGUUCAGUUUAAAUCACAAAACUCUCCCAAAUAAACCAUCUUUUUUAAUCUUUAAUGUCAUUCGACGCUCUCAAAAUCCCUUCUUCUUUCGAUCCUAACUCUGAUCCCUUCCUUUCACAAAGUAAAAAUUAUAUUUUAAAAUUUCUCUCUCUUUCCCACAAUUUACCCGCCAAAAAGUUUCCCCCUUUUUUUGUUCUUUUAAUUCUAUAAUUUAGCUACUUCCCAUUCGAUCUUUGUUUCUCCUUCCUUUCCUCUCUCUCGUUCUGUUUUCGGUCAGUCUCGUGAGUCUACAGACAUUGGGUUUUGAUUAAUAUUGUUUAUAAUGGACCCCGAGGUGGGUGUCGACGAAAAAGCUGCAGCGUUUGAGCCUUCUCCAGCGGUGGGGGGGAAGAGAGGGGUCGAGAACGGGGAUGUUUAUGUGUCGAAGAAGCAGCGUUGCAGUGGGGGAUUAAAGAGGCUGGCGGAGAUUGUGCUGGUGCUGUCGACGAUGUGGAAGAUGAGGGGAGGAGGGAGGAAUCCCACGUCGGCUGAGACGGCUUUGAUGGCAGAGGCGCGUGAGGCGUUGGCGGAGAUGUGUGGGGAGAUGACGCCUAAGGAUAUUGUUGGGCGGGAGGCGAUAGGGAAUGUGAUUGAAGAGUUGGGGCUUAAUUCCCAUCUCAAAGAGCAGAGAUUAGGGUUUAGGGGUAUGGGAAUGUCGAUUUCUCAGAAGGUUUUAUUUUCUAAAAUGAAGAUGGAAGAACCCAAGAAAUUCACUACUCCUGCUACAUAUGCAACUCGGUCAGUGCAAACUAAUGUUGGUGGAUCCGCUGAAAACUGUGGCUCAUUGCGUGCAGUUCGCAUUUUACCAUCAGAUCGACCAAUUCAAGCAACUGUGUCUCAUGUUACCGCAGCAGGUUCAACUCUAUUUCAGCAUCAAUUGCCCACCAGCGGCGUAAAAAUUGCUACAAUGUCCACUGGGCUACCGAGUGGCCAUCUAGGAAAUUCGUCUUCAUUUGCAUAUCCCAGGGUUGACAGACCACAGAUUAAAUUGGAUGGAGGAUGGAACGUGGCUUCUUAUGUUUCCCAUGUACCAGCUAACUCUUCAGCAAGCCAUUCACUCGCCAAUGCUCCCACUUGGUCUAUGCAAGCUCAACCUGCAGUAUUAGGUAAACCUGGGCAAGAGAACAAGGUUUUGGCUCAUCAUCCAACCAAGGUUGAAGGAAGUUCUGGUUCGACUAUGGCACAGAUGACUCCUCAAGCUGUGAGAGAUCAAACCUUUAAACCAUUCAUUACUCAAACUGUAACUGGAGCUUUUCCAAGUGUGCACCAGCCCGUGCAAGGUGUGAACUUUACCCAAGCUCCUCCAUUUAAUAAUAAUCACACCGAAAUUGCUAGAAUUGUUCAGAAGUUGUUGCAACUGAAGCUUCCUGCACAUCCUACCUGGACUUGUCCUUCUAGAGAGUAUAUGAAUAAGGCCAUGACUUGUCAAACAUGCAAACUUGCCAUUAAUGAAGUGGAAAAUGUGCUGCUUUGUGAUGCAUGUGAGAAAGGAUUUCACUUAAAAUGUUUGCAGUCAAAGGGAAUCCCUAGGGGAGAGUGGCACUGUGCUAGAUGCUUGUCAUUUUGCAAUGGGAAGCCUUUGCCCCCCAAAUAUGGUCGUGUCAUGAGAAGUAUCAAUCUACCCAAAGUGCCAUCUAGCUCAGUUGAAGUUCAGUCAUCUUCAGAGAAGAAAGUGGAAAACCUGGGUCCAACGCUCAAUCACGAGGUGACUGCAAAUGGAAGCUCAGCAUUGCAGACUCCUGUUGUGUCUGCUACAGUUGACGCCAACUCUGUUGAGUCAGCAUCUGAUUCUAAGGUUUCAAAAGGAAACUCAACAAAACCUUUGGAUGCUGUAUGUGAUUCUCCUUUUGUUGGCACAGUAAAUGAGAAACCUGAAGAGCAUUCUCAAAUUACUGAAUCAUCUAAUCGCGAAGAAAAAAAAGAUCAUACAACAUCGUCACAGCCUGCGGAUACAUCAUCUAACACUAUCAGCGACAAGGCUGAUCAUUCACAGGUUUCACAUAGCAAUCAAGAUAUCCUAACAAAGCAUCAAAACUGUGCUGAAAUCCCUUCAAAUAAUUGCCAUGAUGGAAGUUCAGGAGAUACAGAUUUGGAGAAAGGUUCGAAAGGAGAUAUUGACUGCAGUAAACAGAUAAAUCAAAGUGAACAAGAUGCUGCAAAUGCACAAGUACAUUCGACAGCAAAUCAUGGAGCUAAUACUGAGAUUUCAAGACAUCCCGAGUUUUCUUCUGACGGUUUGUGUGCUGUUGAAUGGGCUGGUGACGUACUUCAAGUUGUGGAUGAGAAAGAGUUUUACCAGUCUUGUUACAUCAAUGGCAUAACUUAUAAAGUUCAUGAUCAUGCUCUUGUUCAUUUUGGCCAGGAUAAACUGAUACCGUCUAAGCUUCAGGCAAUGUGGGAGGAUGCUAAAACCAGGAUAAAGUGGGUGGUUGUCAAAAGGUGCUACUUUCCUAAUGAUUUGCCGGAGGGUGUUGUCCAUCCAUGUGCUCCCGAAACGAGUGAGGUUUAUGAAUCUAUUAAUGGUAGCACUGUAAUGGCAACCUCGAUUCAACGCCCAUGUGAAGUUCUCCCUGCUGCUAAAUUCAAAGAAGAAAGUGAAAGGCGAAGUCAGUUAGGAAUUGAAGCAACCGAAGGAUUAAGGGCAAUUUUCUUAUGCAAACGGCUUUAUGAUGAAUUCCAAGGAAGCUUUCGGCCUAUAUCAAGUUAACACAGUUAUGCAUCUUUUUUACUUAGCAUGCCUUGACUAGUUGCCAUGGCAAAUGAUAUCAGUACUCAGGUCAGGUAUAGAAAGCUUGCAGCUUGGACCUGUUGCACAUCUGAUGAUGAUGAUUGUUAUUUGCCUUGUGUAUUAUAUGUAGUCUUUGUCCUAGAGCUACUUGUGUAUCCAUUGUUCGACUAGAAAUUUAAGUUCAUUUCUUCAUACAUUUCCAAAUUGUUUAAACAAUCAUAAAUCAAUCUGUUUCAGCUUUUAUAA